UUCUAAAUGAUGGAUAACAUAUCAAGGUAAG
rnacentral:piRNA from 1 species